rnacentral:rRNA from 1 species
AGAGUUUGAUCAUGGCUCAGAAUGAACGCUGGCGGCGUGCUUAACACAUGCAAGUCGAACGAUGAAGCCUAGCUUGCUAGGUGGAUUAGUGGCGCACGGGUGAGUAAUAUAUAGAUAAUGUGCCCCUCAGUCAGGGAUAGCCAUUGGAAACGAUGAUUAAUACUAGAUACUCCUUCUUAUUCUAAUGUAAGUUGGGAAAGUUUUUCGCUGAGGGAUCAGUCUAUAUCGCAUCAGUUAGUUGGUGGGGUAAUGGCCUACCAAGACAAUGACGCGUAGCGGGUUUGAGAGGAUGAUCCGCCACACUGGUACUGAGACACGGACCAGACUCCUACGGGAGGCAGCAGUGAGGAAUAUUGCACAAUGGGGGAAACCCUGAUGCAGCAACGCCGCGUGGAGGAUGACGCAUUUCGGUGUGUAAACUCCUUUUAUAUGUCAAGAAAAUGACGGUAGCAUAUGAAUAAGCACCGGCUAACUCCGUGCCAGCGGCCGCGGUAAUACGGAGGGUGCAAGCGUUAUUCGGAAUCACUGGGCGUAAAGGACGCGUAGGCGGGAUGCCAAGUCUGAUGUGAAAUCCUAUGGCUUAACCAUAGAACUGCAUUGGAAACUGGUAACCUAGAGUAUGGGAGGGGGAGAUGGAAUUAGUGGUGUAGGGGUAAAAUCCGUAGAUAUCACUAGGAAUACCGAAAGCGAAGGCGAUCUCCUGGAACAAUACUGACGCUAAGGCGUGAAAGCGUGGGGAGCAAACGGGAUUAGAUACCCCGGUAGUCCACGCCCU